AAGGUAGCUUGCUACUGGACCUAGCGGCGGACGGGUGAGUAAUGCUUAGGAAUCUGCCUAUUAGUGGGGGACAACAUUCCGAAAGGAAUGCUAAUACCGCAUACGCCCUACGGGGGAAAGCAGGGGAUCCUCGGACCUUGCGCUAAUAGAUGAGCCUAAGUCGGAUUAGCUAGUUGGUGGGGUAAUGGCCUACCAAGGCGACGAUCUGUAGCGGGUCUGAGAGGAUGAUCCGCCACACUGGGACUGAGACACGGCCCAGACUCCUACGGGAGGCAGCAGUGGGGAAUAUUGGACAAUGGGCGGAAGCCUGAUCCAGCCAUGCCGCGUGUGUGAAGAAGGCCUUUUGGUUGUAAAGCACUUUAAGCGAGGAGGAGGCUCCUUUAGUUAAUACCUAAAGUGAGUGGACGUUACUCGCAGAAUAAGCACCGGCUAACUCUGUGCCAGCAGCCGCGGUAAUACAGAGGGUGCGAGCGUUAAUCGGAUUUACUGGGCGUAAAGCGUGCGUAGGCGGCUUUUUAAGUCGGAUGUGAAAUCCCUGAGCUUAACUUAGGAAUUGCAUUCGAUACUGGAAAGCUAGAGUAUGGGAGAGGAUGGUAGAAUUCCAGGUGUAGCGGUGAAAUGCGUAGAGAUCUGGAGGAAUACCGAUGGCGAAGGCAGCCAUCUGGCCUAAUACUGACGCUGAGGUACGAAAGCAUGGGGAGCAAACAGGAUUAGAUACCCUGGUAGUCCAUGCCGUAAACGAUGUCUACUAGCCGUUGGGGCCUUUGAGGCUUUAGUGGCGCAGCU
rnacentral:rRNA from 1 species